rnacentral:rRNA from 1 species
GAUGAACGCUGGCGGCGUGCCUAAUACAUGCAAGUCGAGCGAACGGACGAGAAGCUUGCUUCUCUGAUGUUAGCGGCGGACGGGUGAGUAACACGUGGAUAACCUACCUAUAAGACUGGAUAACUUCGGGAAACCGUAGCUAAUACCGGAUAAUAUUUUGAACCGCAUGGUUCAAAAGUGAAAGACGGUCUUGCUGUCACUUAUAGAUGGGUCCGCGCUGCAUUAGCUAGUUGGUAAGGUAACGGCUUACCAAGGCAACGAUGCAUAGCCGACCUGAGAGGGUGAUCGGCCACACUGGAACUGAGACACGGUCCAGACUCCUACGGGAGGCAGCAGUAGGGAAUCUUCCGCAAUGGGCGAAAGCCUGACGGAGCAACGCCGCGUGAGUGAUGAAGGUCUUCGGAUCGUAAAACUCUGUUAUUAGGGAAGAACAUAUGUGUAAGUAACUGUGCACAUCUUGACGGUACCUAAUCAGAAAGCCACGGCUAACUACGUG